GGGUGGGUGGGGGCUAGGAUGAAAAAUUUUGUCCUGCAUUUUUUUUUAGCUGUAAUCUCUGUCCUGCCUUUUUAUUUUUCACUCUAAUCGGUCCUGCCUUUUUUUUUUAGUUUAUCCUGACUUUUUUUUACCUAAAUUGUCGUCCUGACUUUUUUUUUUUGCAAGUGUCAUAUCCUGCCUUUGUUUUUACUCAAAACUCCUGUCCUGCCUAUUUUUUCAAAUUUCAUCCUAGCCCCCCAUAAAAAUCAAAU
rnacentral:lncRNA from 1 species